UGUACCACGUACAUCUGCUGGGUCUGGUGGUGUAUAUUUCCGCGUCCAGACUCUUUGUGGUCCUGCAAUGGCAAAUUAUCGAGUUGAACGCAGAGAUGUACAUCACCAACCGCAGACCAAAUCAACACCCUAUC
rnacentral:precursor_RNA from 8 species